UGGGAGGAUGGACCGGAGGGUGCGGGUGAUGUCGAGGCGGAAACAGGCUACUCCUUACCGAGUACAGUAUGCUAAAGGGACAUUAUCAGAUGACCAGAUAGAUAAGGAGUGAUAGAGGCCAAACUGGGAGAAGAAGAAAAUAGAGCAAAAAACAGAAGGUGCAAAGAAUCAGAAUGAAGGAAAUGAGAGUAAGUGGUGCAGCAUUCUUUAGGGAUGGAGGAAUGUGUGCACACAGAUAAAGCUGAAGUUGAUAUGACAGAGUCCAUUAGUGACCAUGGAAACCAAGAAGAGGACUUUGUUAACAUAAGUGAGAAUUGUGAUGGAUCAACACAAUAUUCAGAAGACAACAUACUCCUUAAAGAUUCUGAGGAUCAUCUUUUACCUACCAGUAGGUUGGUGACAGCCAUAAAUAAAGAUAAAACUGAAAAUAACAUGAAGGGACCAGAGAUGACCAAUUUUUCACAGUCUGUGGACAUUGAGCACCAUGCAGACAUUGGAGGUACCAAGGGGCUCAUUUGUAGCAUUUGUGGGAGUACAUUAAGCUGUAGAAGUUCACUGGAUAAGCACAUGUUGAUCCAUUCCAGCGAGAAACCAUAUCACUGUGCCGUGUGUGGGCAGUCACUCACAGCAAGGGACCACACGCAGAGCGUGACGUUGCCAGAUGGAAAAUCUGAUAUCAAUGAUAACACUGAGAGAACCUCCGUAUCUGAAGAAGCAGGACCGUUCUGGAAUACAGUGGUAGCUGCAGGGAUGCUGUUUGUCUGCGAAACAUGUAUAGCUUACAGAAAUCUUAUUGAGGCCCAAGAGACUUCAGUCCAUAAAUGGAUGGUCCGUAGACAGAAUGAGCCCCUUCAUGUUCGUUUGCAAAGACUAGAGCGUGAACGGACUGCAAAAAGACUUAAACGUGCCAAUGAAUCAGCUGAUGAAAGGGAGAUGCGGAGGCUGAGAGACCGUGAGGCCAAACGUCUUCAGAGAAUGCAGGAAUCGGAAGACCAGAGGGCACGAAGGUUACAACGUGACCGGGAAGCUAUGAGAUUGAAAAGGGCUAAUGAGACGCCAGAAAAACGACAGGCAAGACUCAUACGAGAGAGAGAAGCAAAACGGAUAAAAAGACGUUUACAAAAGUUAAACCCAAGUCUGUCGGUUCAUAUUUCGCAGAAAUCGACACCAGAGAUGAACUCAUUCCAGCUUCAUGUGGCUUGUCCCAAUCUGUAAAAUGAGCAUAUGGUUAUGAAAAAUUUGACUUUAUUUUUGCUCUGAAGUGAAAACAGUCCUUGAGUUCCAUCUAGAAUUCAUUCUUUUGGUUCAAGCUCCAGGAGACAACAAAAGCCAGAAAUAUCAUGAGAUAUGAUUCUAUGAUUUGCAUCGGAAAUAUGGUGACACGAAACUUGGAAGUCUUGCAAACAGUGAGGAAGAUAGUAAUAGACUUCAAGAGGACAUAGGCUGGUGGAAUGAGCAGACACAAGGCAGAUGCAAUUCAACGCAGAGACAUGCGAGGUGAUACAUUUUGGUGGGAAAAAUGAGACCUAGGAGCGUUCGUGCACAAAUCUUUGAAGGUGGCAGGACAGAUUAACAAAUAAUGAAACAUAUGGGACCUUGCACUUUAUUGAGACAUAGAGUACAAAAACCAGGAAGUUAAGCUAGCCUGAUAAACUAGUUCACCUUCAAUUCUGGGCACCACACUUUAGGAAGGACAUGAAGGCUUUGGGGAAGGUAAAGAAGAGAUUUACUAGGAUGGGUUUCAGGGAUGAAGGAUUUCAGUUACGUAGAUCAACUGGAGAAGCUGGCGUUCUCAGCCGAGAGAGUUGCUUAAAAUCAUCAAGGUUUAGACAAAGUAAAUAAAGAGAAAUUAUUUUCUCUAGCAGAAGAAUUGAGAACCAGAAGGCACAGAUUGAAGAUGAUUAACAAGAACCAGAGGCAACAUGAGAAAAACUUUUUUUGCGCAAUGAGUGGUUAAGAUUUGGAAUGCACUGCCUAGUAGGCUACAAUUGAAUCUGUAACCACUGUUCUUCAAAAAGGAAUCUGGUGUAUACUUGAAGGAGAUAGAAUUGUAGGGAUAUGGGGAAUGGAAUUAACUGGAUUGUUCUCGCACAGACUUGAUGGGCCAAAUGAUGGUCUCUUAUGCUGUACUAUUCUACGAUUUGUAUUUUAUGGCUGCCUAGACUAUAAUGUAAAGAACAAGAACUGAAUCGAGUUCAAAAAUAGCUUUCCUUUCUCUUGCACUGUCUAAUGCAAAUGUAAGAUAUGGUGCUAAAAUUAGUUAGAAAAACUUAAAUAUUUGAAAUGUUUUGCAUGCAGAGAAUUUCAUCUAUUGAUUCUAUAUCUUUGAAUACAUUAAUAUUUCAGAAUAAGAAACUCGAAUAACAAUGUUGAUCUAUUUAUGAUUGCUUAUUGACUAACCAGUUCUGAAUGCUUGAUUACUCAUCUCUUGCUGUACCACCUUUUCUUCUUACACCACUGAAAUGGUUUAACCUACACCGUUUAGUUGUUUGGUAGUACGGAACUUCGACUCUUGCUGAAAAGAAAGACAUAUCUAAACUUUUCGUCUUGCACUCAUCAGGACACUCAAGAAUACCAAU